CUGCCACCAGCCGUAUAGCAGCACCUUGUCCUCAUUGGAUGAUCAGCUCUCAUGUUCUGCUCUGGAUGUAGCCUCUCCCGCCCAGGAGGCCUGUCCCCAAGGGACUUGCAGUGGAGACUUGAGCUACUGCUUGUCAGAGGUGCAGGCUUCAUAGACACAGCUGGAGCCAAGCACCCUGAUGACCAAUUGUCUACAGCGACAGCUGGAUCAAGGUUGGACUGCGGGAAUGGCUUAGCCAGGCAGGGCCUUUCCUCCACCACCUGCAGCUUCACAGCCGAUGCUGAUUCUGGGACCCAAUGUCUUUCUCAAGUUACAGCCCUUCCGCAAAGCCCCAAAAGAGAACUUACUGGCCUCACUCUCCUGAAGAGAAUGCAAUAA
rnacentral:lncRNA from 13 species